rnacentral:lncRNA from 1 species
UGGCAAGAACAAGCACCUUAUGAAAGGUGACAAAUAGGGAGCAAAGAAGUGGUUAAUCUACUUUCUAAAAAAGAUAGAUAUGAUAUGAAAGCACGUGCUGUGUUCAGUAUAAGAAAUAUUGGAGAGAAACACUAGUCACCAGGACUCAAGGAACCAAAAUUAUAUCUGAUGGCCUCAAGUGUUGUGUAUAUUUGAAGUGAACCUUUCUGAUCUGCAGAAUGAUGAAAUUGCAUUUUAAAAAUUCAAGCUGACUACUGAGGAUGUUGAGGCGCUAAACGACCUAACUUCCAUUGCAUGGAUCUUACCUGUGACAAAAUGAGUUCCAUGGCCAAAAACUGGUAGAUCAUGAAAGAAGCUCAUGUUAAUGUCAAGACCACUAAUGGUUAUUUGCUUCAUCUGUUCUGUGUUGGUUUUACUAAGAAACGCAAUGGUCAGGUACAGAAGACCUCUUACUCUCAGCACCAACAGGUCCGCCAAAUCCGCAAGAAAGUGAUGAAAAUCAUGAUCCAAGAGGUUCAGACAAGUGACUUGAAAGAAGUGGUCAAUAAACAUUGGAAAAGAUAAAGAAAAGGCUUGCCAGUCUAUUUAUCCUCUCCAUGCUUGUCCUUGUUAGAAAAGUAAAAAUGCUGAAGAUGCCCAAGUUUGAACUGGGAAAACCAGGGAGCUUCAUGGUGAAGGUAGUAGUUCUAGAAAGGCUACUGGGGAUGUGACAGGUGCUAAGGUUAUAUGAGCUGAUGGAUGUGGACCACAAAUCCAAGAAUGU